rnacentral:rRNA from 1 species
AUGAACGCUAGCUACAGGCUUAACACAUGCAAGUCGAGGGGCAGCAUUUUAGUUUGCUUGCAAACUGAAGAUGGCGACCGGCGCACGGGUGAGUAACACGUAUCCAACCUGCCGAUAACUCCGGGAUAGCCUUUCGAAAGAAAGAUUAAUACCGGAUAGUAUACGAAUAUCGCAUGAUAUUUUUAUUAAAGAAUUUCGGUUAUCGAUGGGGAUGCGUUCCAUUAGUUUGUUGGCGGGGUAACGGCCCACCAAGACUACGAUGGAUAGGGGUUCUGAGAGGAAGGUCCCCCACAUUGGAACUGAGACACGGUCCAAACUCCUACGGGAGGCAGCAGUGAGGAAUAUUGGUCAAUGGGCGCGAGCCUGAACCAGCCAAGUAGCGUGAAGGAUGAAGGCUCUAUGGGUCGUAAACUUCUUUUAUAUGGGAAUAAAGUUUUCCACGUGUGGAAUUUUGUAUGUACCAUAUGAAUAAGGAUCGGCUAACUCCGUGCCAGCAGCCGCGGUAAUACGGAGGAUCCGAGCGUUAUCCGGAUUUAUUGGGUUUAAAGGGAGCGUAGGUGGAUUGUUAAGUCAGUUGUGAAAGUUUGCGGCUCAACCGUAAAAUUGCAGUUGAAACUGGCAGUCUUGAGUACAGUAGAGGUGGGCGGAAUUCGUGGUGUAGCGGUGAAAUGCUUAGAUAUCACGAAGAACUCCGAUUGCGAAGGCAGCUCACUAGACUGUCACUGACACUGAUGCUCGAAAGUGUGGGUAUCAAACAGGAUUAGAUACCCUGGUAGUCCACACAGUAAACGAUGAAUACUCGCUGUUUGCGAUAUACAGUAAGCGGCCAAGCGAAAGCAUUAAGUAUUCCACCUGGGGAGUACGCCGGCAACGGUGAAACUCAAAGGAAUUGACGGGGGCCCGCACAAGCGGAGGAACAUGUGGUUUAAUUCGAUGAUACGCGAGGAACCUUACCCGGGCUUAAAUUGCAACAGAAUAUAUUGGAAACAGUAUAGCCGUAAGGCUGUUGUGAAGGUGCUGCAUGGUUGUCGUCAGCUCGUGCCGUGAGGUGUCGGCUUAAGUGCCAUAACGAGCGCAACCCUUAUCUUUAGUUACUAACAGGUCAUGCUGAGGACUCUAGAGAGACUGCCGUCGUAAGAUGUGAGGAAGGUGGGGAUGACGUCAAAUCAGCACGGCCCUUACGUCCGGGGCUACACACGUGUUACAAUGGGGGGUACAGAAGGCGGCUACCUGGUGACAGGAUGCUAAUCCCAAAAACCUCUCUCAGUUCGGAUCGAAGUCUGCAACCCGACUUCGUGAAGCUGGAUUCGCUAGUAAUCGCGCAUCAGCCAUGGCGCGGUGAAUACGUUCCCGGGCCUUGUACACACCGCCCGUCAAGCCAUGGGAGCCGGGGGUACCUGAAGUACGUAACCGCAAGGAGCGUCCUAGGGUAAAACUGGUAAUUGGGGCU